rnacentral:ncRNA from 2 species
GGACAAACCUCUGGAGAGACUCGACAGAGCACCGAAGGAGCAAGCCGCGCGUGUAUGUAUACCGGACCAUGUACAUUAUAUACUGCAUAAAAUGUGCCGUAUAAUGUAUUAUGGAUGAUGUAUGCAAUAUGAAAACGGCGAAUCUCUCAGGUAAAAGGACAGGGGAAUUUGA